rnacentral:rRNA from 1 species
AUUGAACGCUGGCGGCAGGCCUAACACAUGCAAGUCGAGCGGAUGAAGGGAGCUUGCUCCUGGAUUCAGCGGCGGACGGGUGAGUAAUGCCUAGGAAUCUGCCUGGUAGUGGGGGAUAACGUCCGGAAACGGGCGCUAAUACCGCAUACGUCCUGAGGGAGAAAGGGGGGGAUCUUCGGACCUCACGCUAUCAGAUGAGCCUAGGUCGGAUUAGCUAGUUGGUGGGGUAAAGGCCUACCAAGGCGACGAUCCGUAACUGGUCUGAGAGGAUGAUCAGUCACACUGGAACUGAGACACGGCCCAGACUCCUACGGGAGGCAGCAGUGGGGAAUAUUGGACAAUGGGCGAAAGCCUGAUCCAGCCAUGCCGCGUGUGUGAAGAAGGUCUUCGGAUUGUAAAGCACUUUAAGUUGGGAGGAAGGGCAGUAAGUUAAUACCUUGCUGUUUUGACGUUACCAACAGAAUAAGCACCGGCUAACUUCGUG